UCACUCGAUACACUCGAUAGUAUACACUCAGUUUCAGGUUCCACUGCUUUUUGCUAAAGUGCGCCACCAUGGGCGCAUUACGCAUCAUCUUCCUCGUCGUCUCUCUUCUUUCCGCCGGCUCCGUCGUCUCCGCCCACAACAUCACGGCUAUCUUGUCGCAGUUUCCUGAGUACAGCGAGUUCAACAGCUACCUCUCACAGACAAAGCUCAGCGACGAGAUCAACAGCCGUGAAACGAUCACCGUUCUGGUGUUGAACAAUGGCGUCGUUUCGUCACUUGCCGCGAAACAUCCACUCUCCGUCGUCAAAAGCGUCUUGAGCCUCCAUAUCCUUUUAGACUACUACGACAACAAGAAGCUUCACGCCAUUUCCGACGGCACCACGCUCUCCACCACCUUGUACCAAACCACCGGAAAUUCCCCAGGAAACGUCGGAUUUGUUAAUAUUACAGAUUUGAAAGGAGGUAAGGUUGGAUUCGGCUCCGCCGUGUCCGGUUCGAAGCUCGAUUCUUCGUACACCAAGUCUGUUAAACAGAUUCCGUAUAACAUUUCGGUUUUGGAGAUCAACGCGCCUAUAAUCGCACCGGGGAUUCUAACAGCGCCUGCUCCAUCGGCUGAUGUUAAUAUUACUGGUUUGUUGGAGAAAGCAGGUUGCAAGACGUUUGUGAAGCUGAUUACUGAUACCGGAGUGCUGAAGGUUUUCCAGACGGCGGCGGAGAAGGGAUUGACGGUGUUUGCUCCGAACGAUGAAGCGUUUAAGGCCGCCGGUGUACCGGAUCUGAGCAAGUUGUCGAAUGCUGAGCUUGUUGCACUGUUACAAUACCACGCUCUCGCUACUUACACUCCGAAAGGCUCGUUGAAAACAACCAAGGAUCCGAUUAGCACACUGGCGACGAACGGCGCCGGAAAGUACGAUCUGACCGUUGAGACCGCCGGAGAUUCCGUUACACUUGAUUCUGGAUUUUCCACUUCGCGUGUUGCUAGCACGGUUCUCGAUUCGACGCCUCUCUGUAUUUUCACCGUCGACAAUGUACUUCUCCCCACUGAAUUGUUUGGUAAAUCUCCAUCUCCAGCUCCAUCUCUUUCACCGGAAACUUCUCCGGCGUCGUCUCCUGCACCUGCUGCUCUAUCUCCGGAACCUGCAGCAGCACCUUCCCCAUUCCUUUCUCCUCCCGCUCCUCCGACUUCAUCUCCCACCGCCGGUCCUGCUCCGUCAGAUGGCCCCACCGCCGACUCCCAAAAUAGCAAUGCUAGCAACGCCGUUGACAGCGUCAAAGCUCCGUCGGUUGUCCAUGCCACAUUUACGCUGUUGGUCUUGAUUAUGUCAUACGUUAUGCUUUGAAUCUGAUUUUCGAUUGUUUGCGCUCUUUUUGUUUA
rnacentral:lncRNA from 1 species